GUGAGGAAUAUUGGUCAAUGGACGAGAGUCUGAACCAGCCAAGUCGCGUGAAGGAAGACGGUUCUAUGAAUUGUAAACUUCUUUUGUGCAGGAAUAAAGUGGGUUACGUGUAACCUUUUGUAUGUACUGUACGAAUAAGGAUCGGCUAACUCCGUGCCAGCAGCCGCGGUAAUACGGAGGAUCCGAGCGUUAUCCGGAUUUAUUGGGUUUAAAGGGUGCGUAGGUGGAUUGAUAAGUCAGCGGUGAAAGUUUGCAGCUUAACUGUAAAAUUGCCGUUGAAACUGUCGGUCUUGAGUGCAAAUGAGGUAGUCGGAAUGUGUUGUGUAGCGGUGAAAUGCUUAGAUAUAACACAGAACUCCGAUUGCGAAGGCAGCUUACUGGGAUGCAACUGACACUGAUGCACGAAAGCGUGGGUAUCAAACGGGAUUAGAAACCCGUGUAGUCC
rnacentral:rRNA from 1 species